GGGGUGAAAUGAUAAUAAAAAAGGGAAUAGCAGAAGAAAUUAAUAUUUUCUUCCAUUUUCAACCCCUCUUCCUGGAAAUCAUAACAUAAAAUUAAGUGCACUUCAACAGAGCUAGUAUUUCUCACACAUCUUAGGGUUGUUGACAGAGACCUGCAAAGUUUGCUUCAACAAAAAUUUGUUUAAUAGCUGCAUUCUCCAUUUACUCUGAAGAAGCCAGAUGUGGUUGGUUAUUUUUUUGCCAAAGGGGUCUUUUUUUAAAGGUGCUGCAGACACAUUGUCACCACUUGUGGAAGAGUCAAAGAUCAUUGAAUUGUCAGUGCUUCAAAGUGACACAUCAAAAGAGCAGCUCUUGGACAGAGCUGGGAUAUAUUUGGUUUGGUCCAGUUUGGGUGAAUCGGAUGCUACUGGUUCGCCGAACCAGUAAUUGCAAGGACUGGCUGGCCCCACCUGCUCCACCCCUCCCCUCCCAGGAGUUUCCACACAGGCCAUUUUGGAUGCCAGUAAUCCUUCUUAAAAUAUGGAGCCAGGACUGGAUGCAAUACUCAAAAAGAAUCUGAUCAUCCCAGAAUAAAGCAGAAGUACCCAUUAUUGGGAAACUAUAUUUCUAUUAAAAUUGCUGUUUGGCAGCUCUAUUUAAGGUAACCUAUCCUUUUCUGGGUAUAACUGGAUUGGAAGAUCCAAUAUCUAAUAUAUCUAAUAUUGGAUCCAAUAUCCAGUUGGUAGCGCACCAGCAUGCCUACCGUCCCUGUCCUACUGUUCCCAAUUAUAUGUAAUCAUUCUAUGUAUUUAUGGCUAUGUUUUGCCUAUUUAUAUCCUUUUUUGUGCCAAUUUUGUUUUCUU